rnacentral:rRNA from 1 species
UACGGGGGGAGCAAGCGUUGUUCGGAUUUACUGGGCGUAAAGGGCGCGUAGGCGGUCGUGACAAGUCACUUGUGAAAUCUCCGGGCUUAACCCGGAGCGGUCAAGUGAUACUGUCGGACUAGAGUACAGAAGGGGCAACUGGAAUUCUCGGUGCAGCGGUGAAAUGCGUAGAUAUCGAGAGGAACACCUGCGGCGAAGGCGGCAUCCUGGACCAACACUGACACUGAAAAGCGAAAGCCAGGGGAGCAAACGGG